GUGCUCACUUUGGAAGCACAUAUAGUAAAACUGGAAUGAUACAGAGAAGAUUAGCUUGGCCUCUGCACAGCCACAACAUGCAAAUUCAAGAAGCAUUUCAUAAAAAA